rnacentral:lncRNA from 1 species
UGUUAUCCAAUUUAGACCAAAAUAUUAUAUCUGUUGAAAAAAUUCUAGCCAAUAAUAAACCAUCGUAUAAUAUAAACUUAAAAUAUAUUUUUUAAUUUCUUCUUUUUUACAUUAAUCUCUCUUUAUUUUUUUCUAUUUUUUUCUUUUUCUUUCUUCUUUCUUUAUAAUGUCUGAUAAUGCCAACAAUGCUUGAAAUUUGCCCUUCUGUGCUAGAGACGCUGGCGAUUAAUUCUAUUUUCAAAGUUCACCACAUACUUGCUCUACUUGAUGGGAUUGAAAAUGGUAGUUCAUUCCAAACCAAAAUUUUCAUAAUUGGAUUAGGAACCAGUCGGGGUAUCAGUCCUAAGAUAGGGGUUAAACCGAUU